UACGAAGGGGGCGAGCGUUGUUCGGAAUUACUGGGCGUAAAGGGCGCGUAGGCGGCCGAUCAAGUCAGAUGUGAAAGUCCUGGGCUUAACCUGGGGACUGCAUUUGAUACUGAUUGGCUUGAAUGCAGGAGAGGAUAGCGGAAUUCCCAGUGUAGAGGUGAAAUUCGUAGAUAUUGGGAAGAACACCGGUGGCGAAGGCGGCUAUCUGGACUGUGAUUGACGCUGAGGCACGAAAGCGUGGGGAGCAAACAGG
rnacentral:rRNA from 1 species